rnacentral:lncRNA from 1 species
CGAUGAGCGGGCCGCAGCCUCCCUGCCCCUCCCCUUUCUGCAGACAAACAGAUCCAUGAACGUCUUUGUUUUCCUGGUCUGAGCUGGAAGCUGGAUCAGAACCGGACGACUGGAUAGUCAGGAUAUUCCCGCCAUUUUUGUUGCAUCACUAAUGUUAUGUUGGGGAGUUAGGGGCUGUAAGCUAGUGGGAAAGUGUGUAUGCAAAGGGAUGAUGGGAAAUGAGUGCAGGCUUACUCUGCACCAACCGUCCCCCCCCAACUCAGAGGUGAACUUCUAAUGAACUCCUGCUGCUCUGCAGAAACUAUGUCUUAGAAAACAACACAGGUUUUUAGAUUUUGGCUAAAAUCAGCAUCAUUAUAAUAAUAAUAAUAUAUAAAAUAAUAAUUAUAAUAAUAAUUAAAAAACUACUGGGAACACUUUUGAAGUAGAUCAAAAGACGUUUGGAGUGACUUCAAGACUUCUGUUUGCAGUGAGAGAGCGGGUCCUGCUGAGGCAGGACCACCAAAUCCUCCUGGGGGAGAAGAUGGUCGAGUUAAAGCUGACGUCAGAAGCGAGUCACCUGGAAAAGAACUCAACAAACAAGCAGACACAUCCAGGAGCAUCUUCAGAUUUAAAGAGUCCAGAGUCAGAAGAUGAACCUGAAGAUGGAUCAGCAAAGCCAGACAUUGAAGGUUGGUCCUCUUUUCCAUCAGAGGAGAUGCAGAGUGAUGAGUCUCUGUCUUCAGUUUAGGAUCAAAUAUUCUUUCUAAACUGGUGAAAGUUGAAGGACAGAAACCCGUAUCAACUACUGCAGA